rnacentral:rRNA from 7 species
CUUGACCUCGGAUCAGGUAGGGAUACCCGCUGAACUUAAGCAUAUCAAUAAGCGGAGGAA